UACGUAGGGUGCAAGCGUUGUCCGGAAUUAUUGGGCGUAAAGAGCUCGUAGGCGGUUUGUUGCGUCGGCUGUGAAAUCCCGAGGCUCAACCUCGGGUCUGCAGUCGAUACGAGCAAACUAGAGUGUUGCAGGGGAGACUGGAAUUGCUGGUGUAGCGGUGAAAUGCGUAGAGAUCAGCAGGAAUACCCGUGGCGAAGGCGGCCCCCUGGGCCGAACCUGACGCUGAGGCGCGAAGGCUAGGGGAGCGAACGGGG
rnacentral:rRNA from 1 species